GCUUAGAAGCAGCCAUCAUUUAAAGAAAGCGUAAUAGCUCACUGGUCGAGUCGGCCUGCGCGGAAGAUGUAACGGGGCUAAACCAUGCACCGAAGCUGCGGCAGCGACACUGUGUGUUGUUGGGUAGGGGAGCGUUCUGUAAGCCUGUGAAGGUGUACUGUGAGGUAUGCUGGAGGUAUCAGAAGUGCGAAUGCUGACAUAAGUAACGAUAAAGCGGGUGAAAAGCCCGCUCGCCGGAAGACCAAGGGUUCCUGUCCAACGUUAAUCGGGGCAGGGU
rnacentral:rRNA from 1 species